rnacentral:antisense_RNA from 1 species
GGGUGCUUGAGGCUGUUUGCCUUGAGCAUAUUGUGAAAGGCAGAUAGAAGAAAGCCCCGGAAACAUUCAACGCCCUGCAAGGCGUUUAACAUUUACCGAGGCCACAUCUUAUGUUCAACGCAUUUAGAUUAGCCUCUUACCGACCUUCGGGUCAAGGAGUAGAAGGCUAUGAAG